UUCCUCUUCCUCUUCCUCUUCCUCUUCCUCUUCCUCUUCCUCUUCCUCUUCCUCUUCCUCUUCCUCUUCCUCUUCUUCUUUUUUACUUGAGGCUGAGAGUUCUUUCCUUCACUGAAAGAAUAAACAAAGCCAAAACCAGCUGAGGUUUUUGUGCUACCUCUUUCUGAAUAUGCCAGAGAAUU
rnacentral:miRNA from 12 species